rnacentral:rRNA from 1 species
AGCUGGAAAGAUUUUUUGGUCAGGGAUGAGCUCGCGGCCUAUCAGCUUGUUGGUGAGGUAAUGGCUCACCAAGGCGUCGACGGGUAGCCGGCCUGAGAGGGUGACCGGCCACACUGGGACUGAGACACGGCCCAGACUCCUACGGGAGGCAGCAGUGGGGAAUAUUGCACAAUGGGCGCAAGCCUGAUGCAGCAACGCCGCGUGAGGGAUGACGGCCUUCGGGUUGUAAACCUCUUUUAGCAGGGAAGAAGCGAAAGUGACGGUACCUGCAGAAAAAGCGCCGGCUAACUACGUGCCAGCAGCCGCGGUAAUACGUAGGGCGCAAGCGUUAUCCGGAAUUAUUGGGCGUAAAGAGCUCGUAGGCGGUUUGUCGCGUCUGCUGUGAAAUCCCGAGGCUCAACCUCGGGUCUGCAGUGGGUACGGGCAGACUAGAGUGCGGUAGGGGAGAUUGGAAUUCCUGGUGUAGCGGUGGAAUGCGCAGAUAUCAGGAGGAACACCGAUGGCGAAGGCAGAUCUCUGGGCCGUAACUGACGCUGAGGAGCGAAAGGGUGGGGAGCAAACAGGCUUAGAUACCCUGGUAGUCCACCCCGUAAACGUUGGGAACUAGUUGUGGGGUCCAUUCCACGGAUUCCGUGACGUAGSUAACGCAUUAA